rnacentral:rRNA from 1 species
UACCCGCAGCACAAGUGGUGGUCAUUAUUAUUGGGCCUAAAGCGUCGUAGCUUGCGUGUUAGAUGCCUGGGUAAAUCGAUGGGCUUAACCCAUCGAAUUCCGGGUAGACCGGCACGCUCGAGACCGGGAGAGGUGUAGGGUACUCGGGGGGUAGGGGUAAAAUCCUGUAAUCCUCCGGGGACGACCAGUGGCGAAGGCGCUACACUAGAACGGCUCUGACAGUGAGGGACGAAGCCCUGGGGCGCAAACCGG